rnacentral:rRNA from 1 species
UACGUAGGGGGCAAGCGUUGUUCGGAAUUACUGGGCGUAAAGGGCGCGUAGGCGGCCUGCUAAGUCGAACGUGAAAUCCCCGGGCUCAACCCGGGAACUGCGUCCGAUACUGACAGGCUUGAAUCCGGGAGAGGGAUGUGGAAUUCCAGGUGUAGCGGUGAAAUGCGUAGAUAUCUGGAGGAACACCGGUGGCGAAGGCGGCAUCCUGGACCGGUAUUGACGCUGAUGCGCGAAAGCCAGGGGAGCAAAGCGGG